UACGUAGGGGGCAAGCGUUGUUCGGAAUUACUGGGCGUAAAGGGCGCGUAGGCGGCUCUGCAAGUCGGGAGUGAAAGCCCGGGGCUCAACCCCGGAACGGCUCUCGAAACUGCAGGGCUUGAGUGCGGAAGAGGCAACCGGAAUUCCCAGUGUAGCGGUGAAAUGCGUAGAUAUUGGGAAGAACACCUGAGGCGAAGGCGGGUUGCUGGGCCGACACUGACGCUGAGGCGCGAAAGCCAGGGGAGCGAACGGG
rnacentral:rRNA from 1 species